rnacentral:lncRNA from 1 species
GUUUGCGUUACAACGCAAAGGUUUGCGUUAUAACGCAAAAGGUUUGCGUUAUAACGCAAAGGUUUGCGUUAUAUCGCAAAGGUUUGCGUUAUAACGCAAAUGUUUGCGUUAUAUCGCAAAGGUUUGCGUUAUAACGCAAAGGUUUGCGUUAUAACGCAAAUGUUUGCGUUAUAACGCAAACAUUUGUUUUAUCUUAUUUCGUUAUAACGCAAACAUAGGAAGAAAAAAUAAAAAAAAAAAUGUGUGGCGCUAAUACGCUUCCGUAGUACAGACUGUAAAUGACCUCUUAGAUAAACAUGGAAAUAUAUUAACAUAUAUUUUUUGUUUAAAUGUAUAAUAACAAAGGUGACUACAAGUCAUUGGAAUCAACGCUGAAAAAGAAAAACAACAGCCUAUUAAACCAUUGAGAAUGAAAAUUUGAAAUAGGGAAUGUGUCAAAGACACAACAAUCCGACCAGAUAGAAGAAAACAGCUAAAAGACACCAAUUGGUCUUCAACACAAAGAGCAAAUCUUGCACCCGCAGGCGGGUUCCAGCUGUCCCCUAAACAAAUAUGUGUACUCAUUAUUUAAAUUUAAAAAUCAUACAAGACUAUCAAAUGUCAGAGGUGCCUUUUAAACUUAUUAUUUUGUUCAAGACAGAAAAGGGCGCAAAGGACAUGUAUAUUUUUUUAAACCAAAGUACUAUAAAAUCUGGAUAGGUAUUAUGAAUAAAGUUGUAGAAAAAUGGGGAAAAACACAUUUGUGUUACCAAAGUCUAAAAAAAAACCACCAGGUUAUGUUGGUUUCAAUAUAUAAUGAUGCAUCAUAUCUUUGAUACAAACGCUAUACUUAUUAAAAUGAAACUUGUAAAUUGUUAUGUGUGUACAUUUUACAAGGAAGUGUCAGAAACUAUAAAACAUGUUCUUUGAAGUUGUCCUAUUGUAAUCGACAUUUGGCAAGAUCUGAGUUGUUGGAUUUUCCAUAAAGUUCAUAUCGAAAUUAAACUUAACUUGAACAUUGUCAUUUUUGGCCUCUAUGAAAAUUAUGAACUGAAUUUUAUUAAAAAAUAAAGUUAUUUUACCGACAA